rnacentral:misc_RNA from 1 species
UAGCUUUUGAGAUGGAGUUAGGCAUGUUCAUAUCAUUUGGUAUCAGAGUCUCACUUUGUAUAGGUCGGUGGAACAUGUACAAAGGUUUCUUGACAUUCUUCGGGAGAAGACAAGGUGAACGAGUCAUGACCCCGGUUACUUCACGAGGACGUUCAAUCUAAAGGAGUCGGGAAUGAUGCUUCCCACAUCGGUUCUGCAAGGAGGUCUUGGGUGUUAUAUAUAUGGGUUUGCAAACCUCCCCUUCUGAGCUAGCUUUUGAGGUGGAGUCAGGCAAGUUCAUAUUAUUUGGUAUCAGAGCCUCACUAUGUAUGGGUCGGUGAGCCAUGUACAAAGGUCUUGGGUGUUAUAUGGGUUUGCAAACCUCUCCUUAUAAGCUAGCUUUUGAGGUGGAGGUUCAUAUCAUUUGGUACCAGAGUCUCUCUCAAUGUGUAUGAUGUGUAUGAGUCGGUG